rfam:Tupaia chinensis contig56971, whole genome shotgun sequence.
UGGAUGUGUCAGGUUGGCAGUGCAAUGCUAGCUGGCUGUUGUAAUUCCAUUUUAACAGUUGCUAGUUACACUGCCCUCUGUUGCAUUCA